rnacentral:rRNA from 1 species
AGUUUACUACACCGUAUUCUGUGAGUUGCGAACGGGUGAGUAACGCGUAGGUAACCUGCCUGGUAGCGGAGGAUAACUAUUGGAAACGAUAGCUAAUACCGCAUAAGAACAUUUACUGCAUGGUAGAUGUUUAAAAGGUGCAAAAGCAUCACUACCAGAUGGACCUGCGUUGUAUUAGCUAGUUGGUGAGGUAACGGCUCACCAAGGCAACGAUACAUAGCCGACCUGAGAGGGUGAUCGGCCACACUGGGACUGAGACACGGCCCAGACUCCUACGGGAGGCAGCAGUAGGGAAUCUUCGGCAAUGGGGGGAACCCUGACCGAGCAACGCCGCGUGAGUGAAGAAGGUUUUCGGAUCGUAAAGCUCUGUUGUUAAGGAAGAACGUGUGUGAGAGUGGAAAGUUCACACAGUGACGGUACUUAACCAGAAAGGGACGGCUAACUACGUGCCAGCAGCCGCGGUAAUACGUAGGUCCCGAGCGUUGUCCGGAUUUAUUGGGCGUAAAGCGAGCGCAGGCGGUUAGAUAAGUCUGAAGUGAAAGGCAGUGGCUCAACCAUUGUAGGCUUUGGAAACUGUUUAACUUGAGUGCAGAAGGGGAGAGUGGAAUUCCAUGUGUAGCGGUGAAAUGCGUAGAUAUAUGGAGGAACACCGGUGGCGAAAGCGGCUCUCUGGUCUGUAACUGACGCUGAGGCUCGAAAGCGUGGGGAGCGAACAGGAUUAGAUACCCUGGUAGUCCACGCCGUAAACGAUGAGUGCUAGGUGUUAGGUCCUUUCCGGGACUUA